GACGAACGCUGGCGGCGUGCUUAACACAUGCAAGUCGAACGGAAAGGCCCUGCUUUUGUGGGGUGCUCGAGUGGCGAACGGGUGAGUAACACGUGAGUAACCUGCCCUUGACUUUGGGAUAACUUCAGGAAACUGGGGCUAAUACCGGAUAGGAGCUCCUGCUGCAUGGUGGGGGUUGGAAAGUUUCGGCGGUUGGGGAUGGACUCGCGGCUUAUCAGCUUGUUGGUGCGGUAGUGGCUUACCAAGGCUUUGACGGGUAGCCGGCCUGAGAGGGUGACCGGCCACAUUGGGACUGAGAUACGGCCCAGACUCCUACGGGAGGCAGCAGUGGGGAAUAUUGCACAAUGGGCGGAAGCCUGAUGCAGCAACGCCGCGUGCGGGAUGACGGCCUUCGGGUUGUAAACCGCUUUCGCCUGUGACGAAGCGUGAGUGACGGUAAUGGGUAAAGAAGCACCGGCUAACUACGUG
rnacentral:rRNA from 1 species